rnacentral:rRNA from 1 species
GAUGAACGCUGGCGGCGUGCUUAACACAUGCAAGUCGAACGAAGCACUUUAUUUGAUUUCCUUCGGGACUGAUUAUUUUGUGACUGAGUGGCGGACGAGUGAGUAACGCGUGGGUAACCUGCCUUGUACAGGGGGAUAACAGUUGGAAACGGCUGCUAAUACCGCAUAAGCGCACAGCAUCGCAUGAUGCAGUGUGAAAAACUCCGGUGGUAUAAGAUGGACCCGCGUUGGAUUAGCUAGUUGGUGAGGUAACGGCCCACCAAGGCGACGAUCCAUAGCCGACCUGAGGGGGUGACCGGCCACAUUGGGACUGAGACACGGCCCAAACUCCUACGGGAGGCAGCAGUGGGGAAUAUUGCACAAUGGGCGAAAGCCUGAUGCAGCGACGCCGCGUGAGCGAAGAAGUAUUUCGGUAUGUAAAGCUCUAUCAGCAGGGAAGAUAAUGACGGUACCUGACUAAGAAGCACCGGCUAAAUACGUG